AGGGGUCUGAGUAGAGAACGGGUUAGGCACAGAGAAGAGAAGAGAAGAGAAGAGAAAGGUUGAAGAAGAAAAAUCACAGGGGAAGAGAAGGGUCUGAGCACCAAAUACUAUUCAAAACAUUCACUCAUUGGCUUCUAAUGGCUAAACAUAGAAUACUGUUCAAGGAGGAAAAUCGAGAAGAGUGGAAGAAGAGAGAGGCUUCGAACGGUAAGGGUUUCAAAUGGUGCUCUCUCUCUCUCUUCACCCCACUCUCAUACUCUUUCUUAUAUGCCCCACCACACCACCAAUUUCUAGGGUAUAUAUAUCUUAUUGUGGCAAAUCGACCCAAUUGAGAGUUUUAAGAAGCCAUGGAUGAAGAGACACCACUCAUUACUAAACACUCGAAUUCUGAAACCCUAACCAAGAGCCUUCUUGUUGAUUUUCUUAGCUCAUGGUGUUGCUCAGAACUUGGAGAAUACUAUCUAAAUUACAACAUAUUUGACAAAAGUCUCAAGUAAGGUGAUUCUUCAGGAUGGGAUUUUAGUGUUGGAGGCUGGAUAAAUGGGAAGCAAUUCAAGGCCGGGAAUAUGCUAAGACCCUAAUGGUUCCUGUGACACUCAUCAAAUGCUUGCAGUCCAUUAAAGAAUAUGCUUUUGUUAAAUCUCCAUACCCUGUUAUAGUAACUUUGGAGAACCACCUUACAGCAGACCUUCAAGCUAAGGUUGCAGAGGGUGCUUGGAAGAAUUCCCUUCACCAGAAGCCUUAAAGCAUUGAAUUAUUCUUUCAACCAAACCACCAAAAGAAUAUCUUGAAUCUGAGGGUCCAACAGAGAAAGAUUCAUCUACUAAAGCUACAUCGGGAAAGGAGUCGUCACACCUUGCAGCUGAGUUGGAUCCUGAUGACAGGGAUGAUGAAGGCAGUGAUGGCUGUGAGCAGAAAUCAUGCCAGCUAGGAGCACGUCAAUACAAGCAUCUGAUUGCAAUUCAUGCUGGGAAACCAAAGAAUGGAUUGAAAGAGGCUUUGAGGGCUGGAAUUGGAAAAAUUAAACGUCUUAGUUUGAGUGAAACAACACUUGAAAAGGCAGCGGAAUCUUAUGGAAUUGACCUUGUGAGGUAGUCACUGAAGUUAUAUCACUACAAGAAAUUGCAUUUUUCGCAACAUAACAAAAUAUGUUGCUAAAAGGGAAAACUCAUCGGCAAAAAGUUUCGCCGACACACGGAGCUACGUUGGCAACCCGUAGGUAAAAGUGAAUCGACAAAACAUUUUGCCGACGAAAUUAUUAUUGCGUAGGUAAAAGUAAUGCCUUUAGCAACAAAUAUAGUUGUUGGUAAAAGCCUUCAUCCCUUGUCGGCAAUUUACCUUGCGUCGGUAAAAGUAGUUCAAAUAUGAUGAUUGUGUAGCACUUUUCCUGACACAAAUUU